rnacentral:rRNA from 1 species
GACGAACUGUGCAAACGUUAUUCGGAAUCACUGGGCUUGAAGAGUGCGUAGGCGGUUUCGUAAGUAGGGUGUGAAAGCCCCCAGCUCAACUGGGGAACUGCGUCCUAAACUGCGAGGCUGGAGUGAGGUAGGGGUGUGCGGAACUUCCGGUGGAGCGGUGAAAUGUGUUGAUAUCGGAAGGAACGCCGGUGGCGAAAGCGGCACACUGGACCGUGUCUGACGCUGAGGCACGAAAGCCAGGGGAGCAAACGGG